UUGUGGCCUACAUUUAUCCACGUUGCCCAUAGUCACCUUUUCUUCCUUUUUGCUUACAAGAAAAACCAUUAUCAUCUUCUCCAAAGAAUUAUCCUUUCUCCAUUAAUGUCCAUGGAUACAAAUCCACCAACCUCCGAGUUAAUGUCGCCGGUCCAUAGUUUCCCCAACAGGUUCAUUGACAACGAUGAAGAACGAAGUAAAGAACGAAAAUCAGAUCGAUCAAUCCCUGAUGAAGAACGUGGUUUUGUGAUGAAGAUGUUAAUAUAUGAAGUCAGAUCCAUGUGGAAACCCCUUCCAGAUCUUGUUCCAUUCCUUUUAGAUCUCCUUUGUCCACAUGUUUCAUAAUGUUGUUACAGAUUUGGAUAUUUGUUUUUAUUUUUGUGUUACAACACAACACAAAUAACACGUGUUAUAGCAAACGUUGGUUUCGUCAAACGUGGAUCAGAUGCUCAAGGAUCAUGACCAUGUUUAUGUUACAGCACAACACAACUAACAC